AUUUAAGUUUUCUAGGGUUCCGCAGUUUGUAACUGGCAGGUCCGAGAGAAAACGCAUAGUUUAUACUAUGUUCACGGAAGGAUAAAAGCCUGGGAGAU
rfam:Clostridium beijerinckii NCIMB 8052, complete genome.